rnacentral:rRNA from 1 species
CCUACGGGUGGCAGCAGUGGGGAAUAUUGGACAAUGGGCGAAAGCCUGAUCCAGCCAUGCCGCGUGUGUGAAGAAGGCCUUCGGGUUGUAAAGCACUUUCAGUGGGGAAGAAAUCCUUGGGGCUAAUACCCUCGAGGAAGGACAUCACCCACAGAAGAAGCACCGGCUAACUCCGUGCCAGCAGCCGCGGUAAUACGGAGGGUGCGAGCGUUAAUCGGAAUUACUGGGCGUAAAGCGCGCGUAGGCGGUCUGAUAAGCCGGUUGUGAAAGCCCCGGGCUCAACCUGGGAACGGCAUCCGGAACGGUCAGGCUAGAGGGCAGGAGAGGAAGGUAGAAUUCCCGGUGUAGCGGUGAAAUGCGUAGAGAUCGGGAGGAAUACCAGUGGCGAAGGCGGCCUUCUGGACUGACACUGACGCUGAGGUGCGAAAGCGUGGGUAGCAAACAGGAUUAGAUACCCGAGUAGUC